AGAGUUUGAUCCUGGCUCAGAGUGAACGCUGGCGGCGUGCCUAACACAUGCAAGUCGAACGAGAACGGAUAUAAGUUUACUUAUAUUGUCAGCUAAGUGGCGCACGGGUGAGUAAUAUAUAGUUAAUCUGCCCUGAAGAAGAGAAUAAUUGUUGGAAACGACUUGUAAUGCUCUAUAUGCCUUUAUCACAUAAGUGAGCAAGGGAAAUAUUUAUAGCUUCGGGAUGAGACUGUACGGUAUCAGCUAGUUGGUGAGGUAAUGGCUCACCAAGGCUAUGACAUCUAACUGGUUUGAGAGGAUGAUCAGUCACACUGGAACUGAGACACGGUCCAGACUCCUACGGGAGGCAGCAGUGGGGAAUAUUGCACAAUGGAGGAAACUCUGAUGCAGCAACGCCGCGUGGAGGAUGACACAUUUCGGUGCGUAAACUCCUUUUAUUAGGGAAGAUAAUGACGGUACCUAACGAAUAAGCACCGGCUAACUCCGUGCCAGCAGCCGCGGUAAUACGGGGGGUGCAAGCGUUACUCGGAAUCACUGGGCGUAAAGAGCAUGUAGGCUGAUUAGUAAGUUGGAAGUGAAAUCCUAUGGCUCAA
rnacentral:rRNA from 1 species